CCCUUAGAUGUUCUGGGCCGCACGCGCGCUACACUGAAGGGAUCAGCGUGUUUUCCCUUCCCGAGAGGGACGGGUAACCCGCUGAACCCCCUUCGUGGUAGGGAUCGGAGCUUGCAAUUGUUCUCCGUGAACCAGGAAUUCCCAGUAAGCGCAAGUCAUAAGCUUGCGUUGACUACGUCCCUGCCCUUUGUACACACCGCCCGUCGCUACUACCGAUUGAACGUUUUAGUGAGGUAUUUGGACUGGGCCUUGGGAGGUUUCGGCCUCCCUUGUUGCUCGGAAAGACUCCCAAACUUGAGCGUUUAGAGGAAGUAAAAGUCGUAACA
rnacentral:rRNA from 1 species